CAGCACCUCAAGUGGUCAGGAUGAUUAUUGGGCCUAAAGCAUCCGUAGCCGGCUCUGUAAGUUUUCGGUUAAAUCUGUACGCUCAACGUACAGGCUGCCGGGAAUACUGCAGAGCUAGGGAGUGGGAGAGGUAGACGGUACUCGGUAGGAAGGGGUAAAAUCCUUUGAUCUAUUGAUGACCACCUGUGGCGAAGGCGGUCUACCAGAACACGUCCGACGGUGAGGGAUGAAAGCUGGGGUAGCGAACCGGAUUAGAUACCCGCGUAGUCC
rnacentral:rRNA from 1 species